AACGAACGCUGGCGGCAGGCUUAACACAUGCAAGUCGAACGCCCCGCAAGGGGAGUGGCAGACGGGUGAGUAACGCGUGGGAACGUGCCCUUCGCUUCGGAAUAGCCCCGGGAAACUGGGAGUAAUACCGAAUACGCCGUAUUGGGAUAGAUUUAUCGGCGAAGGAUCGGUCCGCGUUAGAUUAGCUAGUUGGCGGUGUAAUGGACCACCAAGGCUACGAUCUAUAGCUGGUCUGAGAGGAUGGUCAGCCACACUGGGACUGGGACACGGCCCAGACUCCUACGGGAGGCAGCAGUGGUGAAUCUUGGACAAUGGGCGCAAGCCUGAUCCAGCCAUGCCGCGUGAGUGAAGAAGGCCUUAGUGUUGUAAAACUCUUUCGCCGGAGAAGAUAAUGACGGUAUCCGGAGAAGAAGCCCCGGCUAACUUCGUGCCAGCAGCCGCGGUAAAAC
rnacentral:rRNA from 1 species